rnacentral:rRNA from 1 species
ACGGGAGGCAGCAGUGGGGAAUAUUGGGCAAUGGGCGCAAGCCUGACCCAGCGACGCCGCGUGAGGGAAGAAGGUCUUCGGAUUGUAAACCUCUUUCAGCAGGGAAGACUAGAGACGGUACCUGCAGAAGAAGUCACGGCUAACUACGUGCCAGCAGCCGCGGUAAUACGUAGGUGGCGAGCGUUAUCCGGAAUUACUGGGUGUAAAGGGUGUGUAGGCGGAGAAGCAAGUCAGGCGUGAAAUAUUUGGGCUCAACCCGGGAGUUGCGCUUGAAACUGUUGCCCUUGAGAGUGGGAGAGGUAAACGGAAUUCCUGGUGUAGUAGUGAAAUGCGUAGAUAUCAGGAGGAACACCGGUGGCGAAGGCGGUUUACUGGACCACAACUGACGCUGAGACACGAAAGCGUGGGGAGCAAACAGGAUUAGAUACCCUGGUA